rnacentral:rRNA from 1 species
UACGAGAGGCCCAACCGUUAUUCGGAUUUACUGGGCUUAAAGAGUUCGUAGGCGGCGCAGAAAGUAGGGUGUGAAAUCCCUCGGCUCAACCGAGGAACUGCGCCCAAAACUACCGUGCUCGAGGAAGAUAGAGGUGAGCGGAACUUACGGUGGAGCGGUGAAAUGCGUUGAUAUCGUAAGGAACACCCGUGGCGAAAGCGGCUCACUGGGUCUUCUCUGACGCUGAUGCACGAAAGCUAGGGGAGCAAACGGG